UACGAAGGGGGCUAGCGUUGCUCGGAAUCACUGGGCGUAAAGCGCACGUAGGCGGAUUCUUAAGUCAGGGGUGAAAUCCUGGAGCUCAACUCCAGAACUGCCUUUGAUACUGGGAAUCUCGAGUCCGGGAGAGGUGAGUGGAACUGCGAGUGUAGAGGUGAAAUUCGUAGAUAUUCGCAAGAACACCAGUGGCGAAGGCGGCUCACUGGCCCGGUACUGACGCUGAGGUGCGAAAGCGUGGGGAGCAAACAGGG
rnacentral:rRNA from 1 species